rnacentral:lncRNA from 1 species
UAAGUGUUGCAUUAUAUAGUUUUCAUUGACAUUGUCUCCAAUAUUUUCUUCUUAGUAGAAAGUAUUAUAAUGACAAUGAUGAUCACUUUUUAAAAAUCCAAUAUUGUUAGCUUAUAGGCUGUUCUAAGGAAAUUUUGUGGUGUUCAAAGGUACCUAAAAGAUUCCAGUGAGAAAAUCAGAAGUUAAAAUGGAUCUUCAAUGUCUUACUAGUUUAAUUUCUCUGGAGUACUGAAAAUUAUUGGAAAAAGUCUAUAAAGCCUAAAUUUUAUUCUUUUCAAGUGGUAUUUAAGAUGCCACAGUGGUUAUCUCAGCUAGCUGUGUCCUAAAGGAAAAUAGUGAAUGUUAAAAUGACAAGAAAAUUCAUCUGAUGUUUCUAUAGUAUCAGAAAAAUACAACUUGUAAGGAGGAUAGAAAAAAAGUGAACUAGGAAGGCCAUUUCCAUGGCCUUUUCGCACACCUCUAUGCUGAGAACAAUAAAGCACAUGGAAUUGAAUCAUGAAUUGAUGAUGUUUCAUCAAGGAGAGGAAUAAAAGGAGCUGUGAGAUCAGUGACAAAAACAAGUGGUGUAGCUUUAAAGUGUUACGUACGUGUUCAGCUGCUUAACUUGGCCGGUUGAAUCCAAUAAAUAAAGACACUCUUUAUACAGAAUAGCUUUUAUUUUAGUAAUAAUGUGGAAGCAAGAGCAAAAGCAAAAGUGAUAGACAAGAGAGAAAGAGAAGAAAAUACAUCAACAGAUCAGGGGAAACACCAACACCUGAAGUCAUGUAGCUGGGGAGUCCUAGGGCAGCUUUUCAGGUUCCCAACUGGGAAGUCCCAGACAGAGUGUCCUCUCCAUGAGUGAGGCUCCAAAGUAUUAUUCCCAGUGGGGGCCUUUAAAUACAAGGUAGAACAAAGAAAACCUUUGUUUUACCUUGUAUUUAAAGGUAAUCUAGUAAUCUCCUCAAGGAUACCUCAUCCACACAAGGACUGGACAGAUCACUGAAGGAAAAGAGGGAUAGCCUUGAGAUAAGUAAAUGAUUCUUGAGUUCUCAAGAGUGAGCCAAACCCACCAAAAAUGCAGCAUUAUUUAGAUGUUCCAUCAAGGAUGUGUGAAGGUCACAGUAGGCACAUGGAUAGGGAAGAUCUUUAACAUUUUUCUUUGCCCUUUAAGGGUUUUAGGAGCUCCAAAUAGAAACCAUCAAACUGUUAAGACACAGAGUUUUACUUACAUCUAAAGACCAAGUUAUCUUUCUUUCACAUUGUCUAUGUUCAUUAAUCCUUCAGCUAUUAAACGUGUGUUAACAUAAGUUUGGGAAAGAAGAUCCCACUCGGACCUAAAGUAGCAAGUAUUGUGCUAACUCCCCACCUCAGCCAGGUGAAGCAGGGAUGGAAGAUCAGGUGGUAAACCAGAGAGAGAGAGAUAGGCAAUUGGUCCAAAAUACAACAACAAGUUUUGCUAAUUUAACUAGCUUGCUAGUUUAUGGCCUAUAGAAGUGGCCAUAAACACCAUGAUCAAUGAUUAAAUAGCAUUAUCUAAAGAUGGCUGACUCCAGAUAGCCAGGCUAGUGAGGAUGCAUUUGCCUGAGGAGCUCUUUUGAUUUUUCACCCAGUUAAUGAAGUCAGCUGGUACAGUGAGCCCAUUCCCCAGCAUUCUGACUAUGAAUUCUCCUAUUGCCACUAUCAGAAAAGUAUUUUCAACUCCAGAUGGCUUUUCUGUAGAAAAAAAUCCAGAAAAACAACACCAUGUUUAACUGAUAAUUUUGCUGUCAAAAUGUUGCAGAAAAUAUCUAAUUCAAUGCUUUUCACUUUUAUAUUUAAAAUGCUCAAAGUAAUGUUCUGCUCAUUUAUCUUCACAAAAGAUGUCUCUCUCUCCUUCACCUCCCCUCUCUUUUGGUACUGGGAAUUGCACCUAAUCACUGAGCCACAUCACAUCCCCAGCCCCUUUUAUAUUUUAUUUAGAGGCAGGGUUUCACUAAGUUGCUUAGGGCCUGGCUAAGUUGUUGAGCUGGAUUUGAACUUGUGAUUCUCCUGCCUCAGCCUCUGGAGCCACUGGGAUUAUAGGCACGUACCACUGCACCCAGCCUUUCUCUUUUUUCAUGUUAAUUCUAGCCCUUAGUCCUGAAAUAUAUGCCAAGAGAUUCAGUCUCAAAGGUCUAAAUGAUUAACAUUACUUUCAAUUGGCUACUGAUUUCCAAGUUAAACAGAAAAUGUACCUACACAACAUUGGCACUGCAACAAUUUUCCACCAGUAAGGACAUCUGGAAAAGGAAGUCAGAUAUGCAAACAUGCAAAUAUGAAAUAGAUUUCUUUACACUGAUUUGUACUUUCCUCCUUAACUGAAACUCAAUGCCUUUUGGAUUUAAUUUUCAUAAAACUCUCUAAAAAUAAUCUCUAAAUAUACACAUCAUUUAUUAGUUUCAUUAAAUAAACUCCAACAUGUUUCAGAUUGUGUUAUAGAGUAAUGUAGUAACAUCAAGGAACUCACAGUAGUGGAACAAGCAACAUUAAAUACACUUUUACUAUUGAAUGUGAUCACAAUUUGAUCAAAAUCUAGUUACCACACAGAAGGGUGCUACAAAGCCCAUGAUCAGUAGUUGAUAAUUGUUCGUGAAGAUAGUAACAAUUGGCUUGGGUCUUGAAACUUUUAGGAUUUCUUAAACAGAGAAAAUGGGGAAUGAUUUUAGAAUAAUGUAAGAUCAUAUGUUGUAGUACCAAAUCCAUACCUCUGGCUGAGCAACUUUUCUCAAUUUUUGAACCUGGUUUCCAGUAAGUCAUUAAAUGAAUGAGUGCUAAGCUGACUGGUUA